CCUACGGGAGGCAGCAGUGAGGAAUAUUGGUCAAUGGUCGGGAGACUGAACCAGCCAAGCCGCGUGAGGGAUGAAGGUACAGAGUAUCGUAAACCUCUUUUGUCAGGGAACAAAGGCGGGGACGUGUCCCCGGAUGAGUGUACCUGAAGAAAAAGCAUCGGCUAACUCCGUGCCAGCAGCCGCGGUAAUACGGAGGAUGCGAGAGUUAUCCGGAUUUAUUGGGUGUAAAGGGGGCGGAGGCGGUCUGUUAAGUCAGCGGUAAAAGCCCGGGGCUCAACCCCGGCCCGCCGUUGAAACUGGCAGUCUCGAGUUGGAGAGAAGUAUGCGGAAUGCGCGGUGUAGCGGUGAAAUGCAUAGAUAUCGCGCAGAACUCCGAUUGCGAAGGCAGCAUGCCGGCUCCACACUGACGCUGAGGCACGAAAGCGUGGGUAUCGAACAGGAUUAGAUACCCUAGUAGUC
rnacentral:rRNA from 1 species